rnacentral:pre_miRNA from 1 species
CGGGAGUGCUGAAUCUUGGGCUGUGUCCCCCGGCGCCCUGAGCUCCCGGGCCUUUUGCUGCUGGAAUUGCACUCCUGGCUGCGCAGCUCCCU